rnacentral:rRNA from 1 species
GAUGAACGCUAGCGGCUGGCCUAAUACAUGCAAGUCGAACGGUGUCUUCGGACAUAGUGGCGCACGGGUGCGUAACACGUAUGCAACCUACCUUACAUUGGGGGAUAGCCUUUCGAAAGGGAGAUUAAUACCGCAUAAGACAGUAACUAGGCAUCUAGUAGCUGUUAAAGAUUUAUCGAUGUAAGCUGGGCAUGCGUCCAAUUAGCUAGUUGGUGAGGUAACGGCUCACCAAGGCAAUGAUUGGUAGGGGAACUGAGAGGUCAAUCCCCCACACUGGCACUGGGAUACGGGCCAGACUCCUACGGGAGGCAGCAGUAGGGAAUAUUGGGCAAUGGACGCAAGUCUGACCCAGCCAUGCCGCGUGCAGGAUGAAGGCGUUAUGCGUUGUAAACUGCUUUUAUACAGGAAGUAACGACUCUUGCGAGAGGCAUUGACGGUACUGUAUGAAUAAGCACCGGCUAACUCCGUGCCAGCCGCCGCCGUAACAC